CUUAAAUUUUUAUCUUACAUAACAUCCGUUUAAGAAAAUAUUUUGUUUUUAUAUUUUUGCAUUAUUAUUACAUAUUUUAUUUACAUCAUAUUCCAUCAGCCUCAAAUUUUCUAUAUUUAAAAUCGUUUACCAAAUCUUAAAUUGGUGGAAGAUUUAUCAAAGCGGCUUUCCCAAUUUAAGUGUUUUGGCUUAAAUUCCUGGAUAUCCCUGCUUCCUGGGCUAACAGUGAAAGAGCGCUUUCAGCGACUUGUAGGGCCAUUGAAGAUAGGAAGACUUGUUUAAAGCCUGACAAAUUCGACUCCUCAUUAUUUAUAUAUCACAAUUAUUCACUAACUGAUACUAUUGAAAAUGAUAAUUAGUGUGACCAUGAUUUUUAAACAGCAAAUUAAAUACAGAAAUAUUAUGUCGGAGUUUUACCGUAUCUAGCCAGAAGAUAAACAAAUAGAUUAUUAAAAUUUAAAUAAAUAAUUAAUGAUGGAAAUAAAGCUUAAAACAGUUUUAAAAGAAACAUAAUAAUUUCAAAUGCGAUCAAAUAAUAUGAUCAAAUAAUGAAAGGUAUUAAUCGAAGAAUAAUUUUUUAACGAUUCGUAUCCGACUAGAAUAAUUGUAUUUUAGUGUUCGAUUCAAAUAAUUGUUGUUAA